CUUCUUUUAUGAUUAACUGCAAAGCCAGAAGUGGCAGAGCAUGAAGAAUGCUUGUUCAAAGACUUUGUGAUCACUGCUCAAUCUCACAUGAGCACUGGCAACAGUGAGCUUAAAACAUGGGAAUCUGACUUGACUUUAACUUAAAGUAACACUGCAGCAGCCAAAGCAACACACUGAGCAGAGGACCAAGAUACUUCAUGAAGAAUAAAAUCAGUCACAAUCACACUGUGACUUAACUUCUCAGAUGACAUAGCAUUUCCUGAAAGGCAGUUUCUUGGAGGAUUUAAAAGAAAAAAAAAAGGUGAAGAAAAAAA